UAAGUUGGUAGUGAAAUUGUGUGGCUCAACCAUACACCCAUUACCAAAACUGCUGAGCUAGAGGAUGAGAGAGGUUAUUGGAAUUGCUAGUGUAGGAGUGAAAUCCGUAGAUAUUAGUAGGAACACCGAUGGCGUAGGCAGAUAACUGGCUCAUUCCUGACACUAAGGCACGAAAGUGUGGGAGUGAACAGGAUUAGAUACCCUGGUAGUCCACGCCGUAAACUAUGGAUGCUA
rnacentral:rRNA from 1 species